rnacentral:snoRNA from 1 species
AAUGCCUCUUUGAGUAGCCAUUACAGUCCCUGAGUACUGUCUUGGUUUAGUUAGGGGGCGCAAAGCACUGGACAUCUGAUGUCCACUCAGGCCUUUUUAGGGGGUACCUCACCUGUCUUACCAAGAAGUGCCCCCCAAGCAGCCUUAGACAUAC